CAGUCGCCGCGGUAAUACGUAGGGUGCAAGCGUUAAUCGGAAUUACUGGGCGUAAAGCGUGCGCAGGCGGUUAUAUAAGACAGAUGUGAAAUCCCCGGGCUCAACCUGGGAACUGCAUUUGUGACUGUAUAGCUAGAGUACGGCAGAGGGGGAUGGAAUUCCGCGUGUAGCAGUGAAAUGCGUAGAUAUGCGGAGGAACACCGAUGGCGAAGGCAAUCCCCUGGGCCUGUACUGACGCUCAUGCACGAAAGCGUGGGGAGCAAACAGGAUUAGGUAACCCGGUAGUCCCUGUCUCUUAUAC
rnacentral:rRNA from 1 species